GAUACCUAGUGUGAAUUGCAGAAUUCCGCGAAUCAUCGAGUUUUUGAACGCAUAUUGCGCCCGAGGUUCACGCCGAGGGCACGUCUGUCUGAGCGUCA
rnacentral:rRNA from 1 species